CUACAUUCUCCCUUUCCUGGCUAUAGAAGACUCUGGGGGAGAAAAAUCCUCCAGCCUCUCUGUCCCGAGUGGAGUCUCUGAGAUGAAGGAUGGAAGAGAGCUGGCACUGGGGCACGUGCAGGUGCUGCUUCAGAAGCUAUGCAAAGAAAAAGCAGCUGGCAUGCUAUGAGUCACCAAGGAUCAGCGCAAUAAGUGGAGUUAAAGAAACAGAUACCCAGAAUCCCACUUACGCUACACACCAGGAGCUAAGAAAGCAACUGAAGAAAUGAAGACAUAUUGCUCAUUGAAAUGCUGCUGCCAGAAGAGCACUGUUGAAGGUUACAGUACUGACUGGCGCUGACCCAUACUUGCGGGAAAUGACACAGCAAUAUGAUACAUACCCUUCAAAACUGAUGCCAUAAUUUCACAUCUAGACUGUGACACCGCUGAUCUUUAUAGGGC
rnacentral:lncRNA from 1 species